rnacentral:rRNA from 1 species
UACGUAGGCAGCAAGCGUUGUUCGGAAUUACUGGGCGUAAAGAGUGUGUAGGCGGUGCUCUAAGUUCGGUGUGAAAUCUCCCGGCUCAACUGGGAGGGUGCGCCGGAAACUGGAGUGCUGGAGCGCGGGAGAGGAAAGCGGAAUUCCUGGUGUAGCGGUGAAAUGCGUAGAUAUCAGGAGGAACACCGGUGGUGUAAACGGCUUUCUGGACCAUAACUGACGCUGAGGCACGAAAGCGUGGGUAGCAAACAGG